rnacentral:Y_RNA from 1 species
GGCUGGUCCGAAGGUAGAGAGUUAUCUCACUGGAUUGUUCACAGUCAGUUACAGGUUGAACUCCUUGUUCUCCUACUUAACCCCCCUCCUCACUACUGCACUUGACUAGUCUUAA